GCUGUAGAAGAUGGGGUGCUGCUGUAGUAAGACUGACGAGUGGAGAGACAGCGACAGCGACAGCGAAAGCAUCAGCGGCAUCGACAGUGACAUCAGCAGUCUGUCAGACAUCCUGCACUACAGUGGAUGGAGGACGGUGAUGGUGGAGCACAGGCAGCACACCACCGCAGGAACCCAGCAGGCAUGGUUGGAUGCAGAGCUUAAAGGAGACAGCAGGUGUAAGGAGGAACCUGAGGUUAUUAGGAACCCAACACGUGUCGGGCCCACCCUUGAAUCAGAUCCCUGUGUGGCGCUGGACAGACUGAGCACAGGCGGAGAGGAAAACACUCCAGAUGGGUCAAACAGCUUCUACAGCAUCCGUCCCAUUGAUGCUGAUGACCUUGAGCAGGAGCAGAACCAGUGGGCAACAGAUGAGCCUGGUCCAUCCACUGUGCUGCAAACCGAGUUACUAACACCUCCUCCUGAAACAGACACUGGAUUAUUCCAAACACUUCCUCCUGGACCAGACCCCGAUUUAUUCCCAACACCUCCUCCUGGACCAGACCCUGAUUUAUUCCCAACACCUCCUCCUGGACCAGUCUCUGGAUUAUUCUCAACACCUCCUGAAUUGUCUUUACUGAGUGAGGUCGAUGUGCGUGUGACCACAAUAUCCUCACCGGAUACUGUUUCCUCCCAUCACACCGAUGUCACGACCUCGUCUCUCAACAAUCCAGGAAAAUUGUACGGUCCAGAAACUCACCGUAGAUCCCCCAAAUCCCACUUUGAGUGGCAGGAAAAUGCGGAGCUCAAACGUUCGUGGCUUCCAGCGAAUUCACGCAUCCGGAAAAUCCCGAGCCGAGAAGAGGGCGAUGAUCCCUCUGUCUCAAUUUGUUUUUACAGUGCACCUGAAGACCUGGCCCCCCCGAGACCUGAGCGUCAGGAUGUUGCCAUACAAACUUUGCCCCCUGGUGCUUGUGGAGAUGCUUCCACUCCACCCAAGAUUGAGUCCGUCUGUCUGGUGAUGGCUGAAGGGGGCAACAGUGGGGACAAGACGAAGGGAAUGGUGUGGUCCCAGGGAACACCCCAGGCUGAGUCCCCACAGACAGGCAGAGGUGUGGACAUCCCAGGGCCAGUGUCGGAGCUCCAGCCCUCCAAGGUUCCCAGAGACUGCCCACAGCCUAAAACUUUGCCAGGACUGUCAGCCAAACCUCCCAGACUACAAAGGAGAGGACGCGUCAGCAUGGGGAGAAGAUACCAACAGAGGGAAGCAGACAAGACAAAGGAGCUGGACGCAGAGAGGAAGCCGUCACCUCUUCCUGAGAUCGGGGAGGCCAACUUCCCUUCUCUUUCUGCUGUGAAUGUUUCCACAGCAACCGUACCUGCAACUGAGAACAAGAGCUGUGCUGAGGGAAAUUGGCCUCACUGGAAAGCUGACUCCAGCACGAGCAGCCAAAAAGUGGGAGAACCUUAGAAAAACCUACAAGGAGCUUCGGAGACCACCAUCAGGGUCUGGGACUGAGUCUGGGGAGGUCACAGCUGACAAAUGGAAAUAGUUCCCGCUCAUGGAUGAGGCAAUAGGUGGCAGGCCCUCCAUUCGGCCCCCAUGCCUCGUUGCCUCAGCCUGGGUGGAGGGCCAUUCUACGUCAGGCUCCUCACAUUCAGUCCUGGAGAGACCUGAUGGUGAGUCAGGGACAGAAGAGGAGCAACCAGGGCCAGCAACACGCAAGCGCCAGCGGCGCGAUAGGAUCCUGGAGCUGCUAGAGAGGGCCGAGGAAAGGGCAACACAAGAGGUAGCCAGGGAUGAGAGACUUUUAGAUCUCUUAGAGCAAAUCAAAGAAAAAAUGUAAAAAAGUAUAUAUUAAAUUGUAUAAUUGUACUGUUCUGUUGGUAAUAUUAAAUUGUUUAAAUCAACUUCCAUCAAAGAUUGCUUUCUUCGCAUCAUAUGGUUGAUAACAAAUGCUUUAUUCAAAGUGUAAAUUUAAUUGAUACAGUUUUUGAUUUUGAAAUGAAAACUAUUUACAUAAACACACACAUAAAGAAAUUGCAUUUAUCCAAUGUGAUGUAAAAUUCCUGUAUGUAAAAUUCCUGUAUUACUUAUAUAGAUAUUUGAGAAUGUACCAUCAUGUCAUGGCACGAAAAUGUCACCGGACACUAAUUAUUUGAGAUAAUAAGGAAGUGUUAUGUUAUUGUUAUUGACAUUAAUAUUUUAAUCUAUUAUUAUUAUAUAAAGAUAAUAAUAGGGUAAAAUAUUGCACUUUCAAAGAAACAAGCGCUGAAUGUGUUUGGGUAUGUUUCGGAUGGGUUAAAAUAAUUAAAUGGACCUGGCCACACCUGGCCUUUUCCCGGGGAACGGGGAACGGUUCGUUAUUAUUAUGCGACAACAUUACGUCAUUUUACGUGCGCCGUAGUGUCCGAAAGCUAAUUUUGAAUUGAGUGCGCUACGUAGUUCACUCAAUCCAUGUCCCCCAUGUAGUGAGUAGUGAAUAGGGAACAAGUGUGUGUUGUAUUCACUUUAAUUUGAACACUUGGGACAUUCGAGUCACCUGAUAACAACAGUGAGAAAUAACCCAUAUUAAACAAAUACGGGGCUUCGCCGAUUAUCAGCGCUAGCAUGGCCUCACCGUCUGUUUCACUCGGUGUCUUUGUCUGUUCAGCGUGUGAAAUGUUUAGUUACUCCUCUGCCUCCCUUAGUGAAGGGAAUAGGUGCAGAAAGUGUAGUUUAUUUACGGCUAUGGAGGCGAGACUUAGCGAUCUUGAGACGCGGUUCCUCAGUUAGCUGGAGUUGCGUCAGGUAGCCAGGAGAAGCUAGCUGCUGCGGAGCCGCCUAGCGUAGCUACAGCUAGCGGCCCCCGGCAGCAGCCGGCUAGCCAGGGCGGCUGGGAGACGGUUCGUAGGAAGCGUAGCCCCAAACAAAGGCCCACGGUGCCCCACCACCCGCUUCCCGUGGCUAACCGCUUUUCCCACUCGGCGACACACCCGCUGAGAAACCGACCCUGGUAAUUGGCGACUCCAGCGACCAUAGUUAAGAGCAUUCCGGGGGCCAGAGCGGGCGACAUAGAAGCAAAUUUACGGCUGCUGGCGAGACGGAAACGUAAAUUUGGUUUUGGUUUAUUUAACACUAUAGAGGUAGUCUCUGUUCCACGGUUAAAAGUUCACCAAGCACAGAGCAGGGGAGCGUUGGAGAAAGUUGGAGAAACUAAUAUCACAAUUAAGUGUGGACUGUUAAAUAUUAGAUCUCUUUUGUGUAAAUCCCUGUUAGUACAUGACCUGAUAGUGGAUCAUCACAUUGAUUUAUUUUGUCUUACUGAGACCUGGCUUCAGGAGGAGGAGUAUGUGAGCUUAAAUCAGGGGUCGGCAACCCAAAAUGUUGAAAGAGCCAUAUUGGACCAAAAAAACAAGAAACCAAUCUGUCUGGAGCCGCAAAAAAUUAAAAGCCUUAUAAUGAAGGCAACACAGGCAGUAAGUGUCUAUAUUAGCUGUAUUAGCCUACUUUCCAAAUGGUAAGUAGGCCACAAAUACAUAAUGAGCAUUCAUGAUUGUAGCUACAACGGUCCAAUGAAAUAAUGGCCACGCAUCAUACAGAUGUCUUUUGAAAAGAACCCUACAAGUGACCUAUCAAAGGAAACAUACAUAAAGAACAAUACAUUUUUAAGCCAUUUCAACAAUAACGAAUUGAGACAUUAAAUGAAAUUAUGACCAUUUUGAAAAUGUAAAAUAAAUAUUGACUGAAUUUUUCAAUUAACAUGUCUCUCAGACAGUUACAAUGAUGAAAUGUUUAUUUUCCUGCCGCGCAUCCUGGAGAGAAUGACGCCCCAUGUGACCACUCUGCUGUACGAUGGUGCUUUAAGUUUAACUUCCAUUAUCGUGGGAUGUUGAAAACUUUAAGAAUGUUUGUCACGUUUUUCUCCUACAAAAAUUAUAUUAAAACAAUUUCCAUUUUCAUAUUUUUGAAAAAGCUCCAGGGAGCCACUAGGGCGGCGCCAAAGAGCCGCAUGCGGCUCCAAAGCCGCGGGUUGCCGACCCC
ensembl:lncRNA